AUGAGGGAGGGAGAGAACAGGCGAGGGAGGGCGAGCAAGAGAAAACUUUUCAGUUUUAAAGAGCGAGAGGAAGCGUGCGCUGGAGCGACGACCAUGCAGGAGGAGUCUGGUGAGACAGUGUGCGGUGACCGCAACGGAGUGGCGGUGUGGUUGUGCCCCCUGUGUCAACAAGGGUUACCAGACAGGGGCUCCCUUGCUCUGCACCUGAAUGAUGGGCAUAGUGUGCUUCCUAACUGUGUAGACAAGUUGCUGGACAUUGUAAGUAGUGCAAUGCAAGUUCAUUCUGGACUAGUAUUCUUUUUUCCCAUCGCAUGAGUCAACAGAACUUGACUUUUGUGUCUUUAUGUGUUUAAUUAAUGAUUAUUGGAUGACAUCAAAUAUAAUACAUUAUCAAUUAUUGUACAUGCAUUAUUUGUAUAUGUUAUUGUAGGAUUUUAGAACGUUUCCCAAAAGCCUCUUAAGAAUAAGUUUAACUUACUUAGAAUCUUUGUAAAAACAUGGUUAAAUCUCCGAGCUGUUUCCAAAAAACAUUGUUACUAAAGCUGCAUUUGAAAACGCUUGUUAGUUACGGACUGCCUUAGACCACUCAUAGAACAGCUAAUUGCGUCAUAAGCAGUUUUUUUUUGUGUGUACCGCGCCACUUUAUAGACAGAUCUCCACUAAACAUCAUCAAAUGUUUCUGUCUGACUGUUAACUUCACAACAAAGUUGACAACAACUUCAGUUGCAAGUCUUUAACUGUUACAAACAAGCAAAUAAAAAUAUGCUUCAAAGGAAACCAAGAUGACUGCUUUAAAAGAUAAAUGGCCUAAAGUAUAAACUACGUAGGCCUAUAUGAUUCAAGAAUAUUUAAAAACAUUUAAUGUUCAUUCAAUUGAGUUCUAUUUUACUACUGUCUAUAAUUUUGCCUCAAUAUACAGUACUAGUCAAAAGUUUGGACACUAACUCAUUAAACUGUUUUUCUUUAUUUUUACUUUUUUCUACACUGUAGAAUAAUAGUGAUGACAUCAAAACUAUGAUGUAACACUAUAUGGAAUCAUGUAGUAACUAAGUGUUAAACAAAUCAAAAUAUGAGUUUUUCAAAGAUGACAGCUUUGC
rnacentral:lncRNA from 1 species